UGGCAAGUCAUGAGUAGAGGGCUUGGCUUCGCGUGACGCUGUCGUUUACCAAUGACGACGAAAGAUCAAACUGAUGACAAAGCUACUGUCGCUGAUGCGUCUAUUUACCUUUAUCUUUCUCCUGGAAAGUGUGAGGAGCCAAACCUGUGACAAGAGCUCAACACACGCUCGUAGCACGUCCAACUGUCAGGAUGGAAUCUUCUACAACGCGAUGCUGACGCCCUCUGCAAUUUUGGACAACGCCCACGUGGGAGAGGCGUACUCACUAACUGCCACAGGAGAGAUUUUUUUGACAAAAGCACAGCAGGAUCUACCCGUCUUCUACGUAUACCACUAGCUAAAGCAGGCCAACUCAAUCAAUUUCAAACGAUUUCGGUAGAUGUUACUUUCUCACACAGAAACCCUACUUCCACAACAACAGACAUGGAUCUAGACGUUUAUCUAUCGGACGGAGUUUCUGCCAUUGGGUUUCGGAGCCACGACAAAUCAAAUUUUCACGAUUUGUGUCCUUUGUGUGCUUGUGAAGGAUUAAGUGGACCGAAAAUUGCAUCUGUGUCUUUGCAAAAAUGCUAACCAAGGAAUAAAAUCAGAUCCGGCUACCGUCCAUACUCUACACUCUAGAAUCGAUCCACAUCGACAAGCAACAGGAGCUGGUUACAGUAACGUGAUGUCUGUCUAUCAUCAGUACAC